rnacentral:misc_RNA from 1 species
GAUGAAGAACGCAGCGAAAUGCGAUAAGUAAUGUGAAUUGCAGAAUUCAGUGAAUCAUCGAAUCUUUGAACGCACAUUGCGCCCGCCAGCACUCUGGCGGGCAUGCCUGUUCGAGCGUCAUUUCAACCAUCAAGCCCCCAGGGGCUUGUGCUGGGGCCCUGCGGCUGCCCGCAGGCCCUGAAAACCAGUGGCGGGCUCGCUAGUCACACCGAGCGCAGUAGCACAUCUCGCUCAGGGCGUGCGGCGGGCUCCUGCCGUGAAACCCCCCACUGUAACCCCAAAGGUUGACCUCGGAUCAGGUAGGAAUAUCCGCUGAACUUAAGCAUAUCAAUAAGCGGAGGA